UUACGGCUAUAUCAUGUUGAAAUACCGGAUCUUGACCGAUCACCGAAGUUAAGCAACGUCGAACCUGAUCGGUAUCUAGAUGGGUGACUGACAGGGAAUACCAAGUGCUGUAA